rnacentral:rRNA from 1 species
AACGAACGCUGGCGGCGUGCUUAACACAUGCAAGUCGAACGGUGAACUCGAGAGCUUGCUCUUGAGGGAUCAGUGGCGAACGGGUGAGUAACACGUGAGUAACCUGCCCCAGACUCUGGAAUAACACCUGGAAACAGGUGCUAAUACCGGAUACGACACGAACAGGCAUCUGUAUCGUGUGGAAAGUUUUUCGGUCUGGGAUGGACUCGCGGCCUAUCAGCUAGUUGGUGAGGUAAAGGCUCACCAAGGCGACGACGGGUAGCCGGCCUGAGAGGGCGACCGGCCACACUGGGACUGAGACACGGCCCAGGCUCCUACGGGAGGCAGCAGUGGGGAAUAUUGCACAAUGGGCGAAAGCCUGAUGCAGCGACGCCGCGUGAGGGAUGACGGCCUUCGGGUUGUAAACCUCUUUCAGUAGGGAAGAAGCGAAAGUGACGGUACCUACAGAAGAAGCACCGGCUAACUACGUGCCAGCCGCCGCGGUAAAAC